AAUUAAAGGAACGGAACCGGUGUCAGGAUUCAAAGGAACACAAACUUCAGGCGUGGCACGUUCAGGUUGAGUUUUUGCGAGGGAUGCAAGGGAUAAGUUAGAAGAGGCUUUUGAAACAUUGGCUGAUGGAGGGGCAUUUGAGAGACCGGUAGAAGAGCCAGAUGUACGAAGACGACGCACACCAUCCGCAUUGGGAGCCACGUCGUCCAGUCGUGAUGUUCCAAAAUUGCGAUCGUUUUCAGUUAAGUGAUUUUGGUGGCUCUUUUGCAAUUCCACAAAAGUGUGUGUAUGUGAAACAGGACGGUUGUCAUUCGAGCCCCCAUAAUUCAAGAUCCCUUCGACAGCGCGAAUAUCGUCUUCUGGAACCAACGCCUGUGGAACUACUUUGGAUGAAGACUUGGAAGCUCCUUGAGCGUUCUGCGACAGAGGUCGACCAUCCGGUCCUACAAAAAGCUCAUUAGGGAUAUUUGACGUUGAUCCAGCUAAAGAUUUGGGAACUGCUUCUUUCGAGCCGGAAGCAGGUGAAUUCGACGAUGUUUCCGACAUUGAUUUUUGAGUGAAAAUAUACGAAUUCUUCGAUUUGUGAGUAUUCUACAGACGUUUCGUCGUAUAUCUUUCACGUUGAACAAUUGUAUAAAGAUGUAGAGUGUUUGGCUGAUAAGAACUUUCAACUUGAUGUAUUAGAACUUAACCGACUGUGUUUACACCGUACUGCAAGAAACAAGUCACCAUGACAACGAUUUAGGUAACACAUGGUGUGGAUGCCCGAGAAGCCAAUAGCUGAA